rnacentral:tRNA from 1 species
GGCUUGUAGCUCAGUGGUAGAGUACUCACUUUGCAUGUGGAAGGCACUGGGUUCGAUCCUCAGUACCA